rnacentral:rRNA from 1 species
UACAGAGGUGGCAAGCGUUGUUCGGAAUUACUGGGCGUAAAGGGCUCGUAGGUGGCCAACUAAGUCGGACGUGAAAUCCCUCGGCUUAACCGGGGAACUGCGUCUGAUACUGGAUGGCUUGAGUUUGGGAGAGGGAUGCGGAAUUCCAGGUGUAGCGGUGAAAUGCGUAGAUAUCUGGAGGAACACCGGUGGCGAAGGCGGCAUCCUGGACCAACACUGACGCUGAGUGAGCGAAAGCCAGGGGAGCAAACGGG